UACAGAGGGGGCAAGCGUUAUUCGGAAUUAUUGGGCGUAAAGGGCGCGUAGGCGGCCUGGCAAGUGGAAGGUGAAAUCCCUCGGCUUAACCGAGGAACUGCCUCCCAAACUGCUUGGCUUGAGACCGGGAGAGGUGAGUGGAAUUCCCAGUGUAGCGGUGAAAUGCGUAGAUAUCUGGAGGAACACCGGUGGCGAAGGCGGCAUCCUGGACCGACACUGACGCUGAGGAGCGAAAGCCAGGGGAGCAAAGCGGGG
rnacentral:rRNA from 1 species